rnacentral:rRNA from 1 species
AUACAGAGGGUGCGAGCGUUAAUCGGAAUUACUGGGCGUAAAGCGCACGUAGUCGGCUUGUCAAGUCGGGUGUGAAAUCCCCGGGCUCAACCUGGGAACUGCAUCCGAAACUGACUUGCUAGAGUAUGGGAGAGGGAGGCGGAAUUUCUGGUGUAGCAGUGAAAUGCGUAGAUAUCAGAAGGAACAUCAGUGGCGAAGGCGGCCUCCUGGACCAAUACUGACGAUCAGGUGCGAAAGCGUGGGGAGCAAACAGGAUUAGAUACCCUGGUAGUCCACGCCCUAAACGAUGACAACUGGAUGUCGGGAGGGUUUGCCUUCCGGUGUCGUAGCUAACGCGUUAAGUUGUCCGCCUGGGAAGUACGGCCGCAAGGUUGAA